AUUAGGGUAACCCGACUUCCUAACCCUAAAACUUUUUCCGGUUUUCUCUUCCAAAUCUCUGCUUCCGCCAGCGGCUCAAUAGCGUCUUCCACUUUGCUUAGGUUUUUUGUCUGCCUGAUUCUUAGUACAAUUGACUCAUGCUCUGUUUCACCAACAUUGGAAAGUCUGUGCCGGAGAGACGACGGAAUCUCACCGGACGGCUGUGAUUUUGCAAUUCUAUGGCUUCUGCUGUCUUAGCUAACCGGAACGAACCUAAUUGGCCGCAGCAUAGAGUUGGUGGAGCUGGAUUCAUGGGAAAAGCACCCUUUGCUAACCCUAACCCUAAUUCUAAUCCUAAAUUAGCAAAUAGCAAAAGGACCCAGGCGGCUUCGGACGAUGCUUCCUCUAUCAACAGGCGACCCAAUGAAGUAGUGACUCACUCCCAAUACGUGUCCUUCAACAUCGGAUCCUUAUCGAAGAAGGAACUCUACGACAUCAAGAACAGGCUUGUCGCAGAGCUCGAACAGGUUCAGAAAUUCAGAACUCGAAUCGAGUCAGGGGAGUUACAACCUGGGCAGAGCUUCAAUGGCCACCCGAAGAAAUCCUCGAGUAAAAAGUUGUCCGGCAACAAGCGACCCUUGCCAUUGAAUUCCGCAAAGGAUUUUAAAGGUUCGCAUUCGGAAGUUGGAAACUUGAUGAAGGGCUGCUCGCAGGUUUUGCAGAAGCUGAUGAAGCACAAACAUGGGUGGAUCUUCAAUGUACCAGUUGAUGCUGUCGGAAUGGGUCUCCAUGAUUACUAUGAUAUAAUUAAACAGCCUAUGGAUCUUGGGACGGUGAAGUCCAAUCUCUCGAAAAACAAGUACUCGACGCCUUCGGAUUUUGCCUCUGAUGUGAGGUUAACCUUCAACAAUGCACUGACAUAUAACCCUAAGGGUCACGAUGUGUACACCAUGGCGGAGCAGCUUUUGACGAGGUUUGAGGAGCUGUAUCGCCCGAUUCACGAGAAAUUCGAAGAUUUGGUUGGACAUGAUCGCGAUUUUAAGGAGGAAUUGCAGGCUAGUUCGUGGAGCCACGUUGAGCCAGAGAGGGUGAAGAAGAAGGAAAAUCUGAUCCCUCCCGCGAAAUUGCAACAAGAGCCUCCGCAGCCACCUGCAAGUUCUUCUAACCCUCCUUUGCUGCAGUCCCCCGUGCGUACACCUUCUCCCAUGCGAGUUCCUCCCGUUAAGCCUUUGAAGCAGCCUAAGCCAAAGGCGAAGGAUCCCAACAAGAGGGAGAUGAGUCUUGAAGAGAAACACAAGCUGGGGUUAGGACUGCAGAGUUUGCCAGCAGAGAAAAUGGAACAGGUGGUGCAGAUCAUAAGGAGGAGGAACGGACAUUUGAAGCAGGAUGGGGAUGAGAUCGAGCUAGAUAUUGAGGCUGUUGACACAGAGACUCUUUGGGAACUUGAUAGGCUAGUGACUAAUUAUAAGAAGAUGGUUAGCAAGAUUAAGAGGCAGGCAUUGAUGGGCAACAUCAACAACAGUGUGGCGCCAAACAAAGCCAAUAUGGAAUUCCCUGGUGGUGAGAAGGCUGAUGGGAUGCCAACUGAGUUUAAGAAGCCAAAGAAAGUAGAAGCAGGAGAUGAGGACGUUGAUAUUGGUGAUGAUAUGCCAAUGGGUGUGUUUCCCCCUGUGGAGAUUGAGAAAGAUAAAGAUGUUGCUGGUGGCCAUGCAACUAGUAGUUCUAGUAGCUCUAGCGGCUCAAGCAGUGAUUCCUCGUCGUCAAGUGAUUCGGAUUCCGGUAGUUCCUCUGGAAGUGAUUCUGAAGCAGACAAUGGGCAUUCGUAGCUGCGAGGGAUAUUUGUUACUGGUGGUCAAACUUGAUCAUACUGGUGGGUGGAUGAAGAAAUCAUUGCUUCAUUGGCUUCCUUUGAGGGUGUGGGUUGAAUAGAUGGACGAGGGAUUGUGAUAGUUGGUUCUGUUGUGGGUUGGGUGUGGGAGUGGCGGUAUGGAUUGUGGAGCUGGACACCUGCUUGAGGAUUUGGGGUGUGUUAUAAAUAAAUCUGUACAAAUAAAUUCGGAAACUAAAGUAAUCACCAAAACGAUUUGUAGGCCAACAUGUAGACUGAAAUGUGAAAAUCCUAGGAUAGACUCGUUGAAGAUUUAGAAAUAGAAUGCAGAGAGAAUUAAUAUUGAGUUUUACCUUGUACACAUUAACAACAGUAUAUAGAUGGAACUUCUUAAAUCCAUUUUGUGGAUCUGUGCAUUGGAUUUUUUUGGAUCGUUAAUCAGUUAAAUAGACUGGGGUAAUGAGGGGAGGAAAAAUGGCCGCUGAGAAUCCUUUGGAGAUGAAAACUAUGCGAAAAUGCUACUAAGAUGAAUUAUUCGAUUUAAGGUCGUCCUAUCAGGCAGUGGUUGUACCUCUGGUUUCAGAUUCUGUAUAAAGAUUUGAAGAUGCCACGUCUGGUCCUCGAAGGAUAAAAAAAUGCUGCAUGUUUAAAGGGAUGCAAUAAGAAGGCGCUUAUACGUAGAAGAUGUUUGAAGUGCUUAAUAUGCGUUGCCUCGGACUGUUAUCAGUUUGCUGGUUGUGGAGUUUUGGUACUCUUAUCUACUCAACGAUGAUCAAACUUCAGAAUGGGGUAGGAUUUUCUAUUGGAUGUAAUAUAAUACCCUAUUACCUACCAGAUGACCUAUUUUCUUCGUUGUGGCCAGUUUUUUCGUUGGAUAAUUUGUUAAACUGUGUAUGAUUUUUUGCCUUUAUCGACUUCCCUUAUUGCACAUAAUCUGGAGAGUACUUUGGAAUGGAUCGGUCUAUAAAGGCUCACUCAGGUGGUGCUUUCAUUAUGAUAUUGGCAUUUGGUCGACAACAGUUAAAGCUGUCCGUUGGUAUUUGUUCGACAGUUAAGGCUGAGCUGCGGUGUCUGGCACGAUCCCUAAAUGUCACCAUCGAUUUUGUUGAAAUGGAUUCUCAAGUAGCUUUGAAAUUGGUCUUGUGGGUAUACGAAUUUUUUUCUCCCUUUUGCUUUUCUUCUCGUCAGGAGCAUCCGGGGGCUGGUUGGAACAUUAUGGCCAUUUUUUAGACUUUGAUGUUCUGUUGGACAUUGUGUCUUAUUUCAAUUAAGAGGCGAAAGAAAGCCUGUUUUUCAUGAAUAAUACUCUUAACAUAUUACUAA